rnacentral:hammerhead_ribozyme from 1 species
GUACCGAUGAAGAGUCCCAAACUAGGACGAAACAGAUGUCCAGUAC